ACUUAAAUAGUUUAAUUAAAAUUCUAGUUUGUGGAUCUAGAGAAGUAAACAAUAUUACUUUGAGUA
rnacentral:tRNA from 1 species